UACGUAGGGGGCAAGCGUUAUCCGGAUUUACUGGGUGUAAAUGGAGCGUAGACGGCAGUGCAAGUCCGGAGUGAAAGCCCGGGGCUCAACCCUGGGACUGCUCUGGAAACUGUAAAGCUGGAGUGCGGGAGGGGCAGGCGGAAUUCCUGGUGUAGCGGUGAAAUGCGUAGAUAUCAGGAGGAACACCGGCGGCGAAGGCGGCCUGCUGGACCGUAACUGACGUUGAGGCUCGAAAGUGUGGGGAGCAAACAGG
rnacentral:rRNA from 1 species